rnacentral:rRNA from 1 species
CAUAGGUUUGGUCCCAGCCUUCCUGUUAACUCUUAAUAAACUUACACAUGCAAGCAUCUACACCCCAGUGAGAAUGCCCUCUAGGUUAUUAAAACUAAGAGGAGCUGGCAUCAAGCACACACCCUGUAGCUCACGACGCCUUGCUUAACCACACCCCCACGGGAAACAGCAGUGACAAAAAUUAAGCCAUAAACGAAAGUUUGACUAAGUUAUAUUAAUUAGGGUUGGUAAAUCUCGUGCCAGCCACCGCGGUCAUACGAUUAACCCAAGCUAACAGGAGUACGGCGUAAAACGUGUUAAAGCACCAUACCAAAUAGGGUUAAAUUCUAACUAAGCUGUAAAAAGCCAUGAUUAAAAUAAAAAUAAAUGACGAAAGUGACCCUACAAUAGCCGACGCACUAUAGCUAAGACCCAAACUGGGAUUAGAUACCCCACUAUGCUUAGCCCUAAACACAGAUAAUUACAUAAACAAAAUUAUUCGCCAGAGUACUACUAGCAACAGCUUAAAACUCAAAGGACUUGGCGGUGCUUUAUAUCCUUCUAGAGGAGCCUGUUCUUUCAAUCACUAGU